rnacentral:rRNA from 1 species
CUACGGGAGGCUGCAGUCGAGAAUCAUUCGCAAUGGGCGCAAGCCUGACGAUGCGACGCCGUGUGAACGAAGAAGGCCUUCGGGUUGUAAAGUUCUUUCGCUUGGGAACAAGAGACAUGGAAUAAUACUCUGUGAAUUUGAGGGUACCAGGUAAAGAAGCACCGGCUAACUCCGUGCCAGCAGCUGCGGUAAUACGGAGGGUGCAAGCGUUAAUCGGAUUCAUUGGGCGUAAAGGGGGCGCAGGCGGGAAUGCAAGUCAAUUGUGAAAUCCCAGGGCUCAACCCUGGAAUAGCAAUUGAAACUGCAUUUCUUGAGGACAGGCGGAGAAAACGGAAUUCCAUGUGUAGCGGUGAAAUGCGUAGAUAUAUGGAGGAACAUCUGUGGCGAAGGCGGUUUUCUAGCUUGUUCCUGACGCUGAGGCCCGAAAGCUAGGGGAGCAAACAGGAUUAGAUACCCCGGUAGUC